GGGGCUGAUUCUGGAUUCGACGGGAUUUGCGAAACCCAAGGUGCAUGCCGAGGGGCGGUUGGCCUCGUAAAAAGCCGCAAAAAAAUAGUCGCAAACGACGAAAACUACGCUUUAGCAGCUUAAUAACCUGCUUAGAGCCCUCUCUCCCUAGCCUCCGCUCUUAGGACGGGGAUCAAGAGAGGUCAAACCCAAAAGAGAUCGCGCGGAUGCCCUGCCUGGGGUUGAAGCGUUAAAACGAAUCAGGCUAGUCUGGUAGUGGCGUGUC
rnacentral:tmRNA from 2 species